rnacentral:lncRNA from 1 species
GCCGACAGUUGUGAAAAUAUCGACUUGUUGACCGCUUUGUUGAUCUUGUCACAAGAUUUUGUUACCGUAAAAAAUACAGGAUAAAGGAAGGGAUUGUUACAUCUAUGCAGCAACUUUUCAACGAAUCGUCAAGGUCUUGGCGGAUGUUUUGAGCGCACAGUAACAAACACUGGUCUAAGUGUAUCAACGCAGGAAGCUACAAGAUACAUGUGAUUACAUCUGCUGAUCGGAAGGAGUUGCUGAGGAUGUAAAAAACAAGCCAUAUUUUGGGGAAAUGGAGUAGGAAGACGUUGGCUGGUUGCAGUGGCAUUUUAACAGUACCGCAGUAGAUGUUUAGGAAGUGCUGAUAGACAAAGCUAUGAUUACCUAGCAGAGCGAAACAGUUCCACAAUCCAGAAUUCCAGAAACAAAUGAUGCAU